AGUGAACGCUGGCGGCGUGCCUAAUACAUGCAAGUCGAACGGAGUGGCGCCCGGGUGAGUAAUGUAUAGCUAAUCUGCCCUACACUAGAGGACACCAGUUGGCAACGGCUGCUAAUCCUCUAUAGUGUAGGAUGAGGCUAUAUUGUAUCAGCUAGUUGGUGAGGUAAUGGCUAACCAAGGGUAUGACGCAUAACUGGUCUGAGAGGAUGAUCAGUCACACUGGAACUGAGACACGGUGCAGACUCCUACGGGAGGCGGCAGGAGGGAAUAUUGCUCAAGGGGGGAAACCCUGAAGCAGCAACGCCGCGUGGAGGAUGACACUUUUCGGAGCGUAAACUCCUUUUGUUAGGGAAGCGGUACCUAACGAAUAAGCACCGGCUAACUCCGUGCCAGCAGCCGCGGUAAUAC
rnacentral:rRNA from 1 species